rnacentral:sRNA from 1 species
GCGUUUACUUUGAUCGCCGUCUACGUCAUCGGUAAGGAC